rnacentral:rRNA from 1 species
CCUACGGGUGGCAGCAGUGAGGAAUAUUGGUCAAUGGACGAGAGUCUGAACCAGCCAAGUAGCGUGAAGGAUGACUGCCCUACGGGUUGUAAACUUCUUUUAUAUGGGAAUAAAACAGGGUAUGUAUACCCCCUUGUAUGUAUCAUAUGAAUAAGGAUAGGCUAACUCCGUGCCAGCAGCCGCGGUAAUACGGAGGAUCCGAGCGUUAUCCGGAUUUAUUGGGUUUAAAGGGAGCGUAGGUGGAUUGUUAAGUCAGUUGUGAAAGUUUGCGGCUCAACCGUAGAAUUGCAGUUGAAACUGGCAGUCUUGAGUACAGUAAGGGAUGGCGGAAUUCGUGGUGUAGCGGUGAAAUGCUUAGAUAUCACGAAGAACUCCGAUUGCGAAGGCAGCUCACUGGACUGCAACUGACGCUGAUGCUCGAAAGUGUGGGUAUCAAACAGGAUUAGAUACCCUUGUAGUC